rnacentral:lncRNA from 1 species
UUUUCUACGCCAUUUUUCCAAACAAAUUCCACUCUAACAAACUCACUCUCUCUCUCAUUCUCUCUCUCAUCAUCCUCCUCCUCUUACACCACCGCCGCCGCUGCACCGCCGGCACUCCGGCCAUAGGUGGUGGUGGCAAAUGGUGGAGGCUCACGCUUUUUUUGCUCCUUGCGCCUAGGCCCCAGGCGAGGCCUAUGCGCCUUGGGUGUGCCUAACGCCUUCAAUAACUAUGGAUUUCACAACUAGCCAGCUUUGCAAAACAAUUUGCUAAGCAUAUUUCCACCAUGUUAUUGUUCAUGAUAGAAAAAUAUGCAUAUACACCCAAUGCUUACACCAAAAAACACAUAUACACAACAUGGACAAAUAAACAUGCCGUAGAACUGUUUAGGAUACACCAUUGCAGCAAGCAUGUAUGAUAGUAUGAUAUGUAUCUCAAUUGAUGAAGCUGUAUGAAACUCACAUCUGGCCCAAACAAUAAUGUGCCUAUUUUUUUUUCCUUGCACAAUUUUUGUAUAAUAUAAAUACAAACACACACACAUGGGGCGUUUUUUAUAACCAAUAAUAUGUUGAGAACUACGAGAACAACAUAAUAUACUUGUACCUUUUGCGCCUGAUCCAUCAUCUCUAUAAAUCAUCAAUCAAUGCACUACGUACAAGUACUUUAUGUGAUUCUAGCAGUUCUCAACAUAAAAUUGGUUCUGAAAAGAACGCGUCCCUAUAAUGCAUUUCUACGUGGUGCUCUAAAUGUGAUUCAUAAGACGCCCACUUUCUCACUCCCAUUACUUUGAUUAGGCCGCGGGGUGUGGGGGGCUUGGGUUGGGGGCAUUGCUCGACACUUGGCGAGUGUGGGCUCCACCAGACCACCCCUAAAAAGUGGGGUGUGGAAGCGGUGUGGCUAGGCCGGCGUGGGGUGAAAUGUGGAUUUUUUAUAUAGUUGACAUUUAUAUAAUAAAACACAAACUUAUAUUAAUU